rfam:Zea mays cultivar B73 chromosome 6, whole genome shotgun sequence.
GGUCGUCUAGUUCAGUUGGUAGAGCGUAAGGCUUUUAACUUUGUGGUUGUGGGUUCGAGCCCCACGGUGGGUG